rnacentral:rRNA from 1 species
UGGGGAAUAUUGGACAAUGGGCGCAAGCCUGAUCCAGCCAUGCCGCGUGAGUGAUGAAGGCCUUAGGGUUGUAAAGCUCUUUCAGUAGGGAAGAUAAUGACGGUACCUACAGAAGAAGCCCCGGCUAACUUCGUGCCAGCAGCCGCGGUAAUACGAAGGGGGCUAGCGUUGUUCGGAUUUACUGGGCGUAAAGCGCACGUAGGCGGAUCGUUAAGUCAGGGGUGAAAUCCUGGAGCUCAACUCCAGAACUGCCUUUGAUACUGGCGAUCUAGAGUCCGGAAGAGGUGAGUGGAACUCCUAGUGUAGAGGUGGAAUUCGUAGAUAUUCGGAAGAACACCAGUGGCGAAGGCGGCUCACUGGACGACUGUUGACGCUGAGGUACGAAAGCGUGGGGAGCAAACA